rnacentral:lncRNA from 1 species
UUUUGCUUCCAAGGGCUGAUUUUAUCAUCUAGCAUAACUAUUGCACGGCAGCUUAGGGGUUUUAUUCUGGUACUUUUUAUUGAGACAGUAAACAGUAACCCUAAUAGGGACUUUAGGGUUUGAAUUGAUCUUUUGGUGGCUAAUGGUUAUAGGUUUGAUUGGGUAUGAACGCGCGGAUGUUUGGAGGCUGUUUGAUGGUGAGGAUAUGGGGGUUUGUUUGCUGCAAAACUGUAGAAAGAUGGAAAGUUUUCUAGGAGUCACACUUAGGAGGAAAAACUAAGCUUCGUACUUAAAGUUCUUAGGAGUUAUUACACCUAAGAGAGAUUGCAUCACGCUUUCAAAAGUAUAUAGUUGGAAGUUUUAUUCAUAAAUUGGUGUGAACCCACCAGGAAGACACCAAACAAGAGACACAAUCUUGAAGAAGGUUUUAUUUUUUUCAAUAAUCAAUGAACUUAUAACUGAAUAUCUAGAUGUUUAUAUAGAUGCAUCAAACUAAAUAAAAUAAUAAGUCUUAAAUCCAUAAGGAUAUGUUUGGUACACGGGACAUUAUAACAACACAAAUUGUCCAAUGAAGCUAUUUGGUGUACACACACAUGAAACAGGAAAUGAGGUGGUUUCAAUCUUGUCCCAUAAUUUUUUUUCCUUGAACACCCCUAAGGAUAAGCUUGUGUUGCAUUCUUUGUAUGCUACCCAU